AUUGAACGCUGGCGGCAGGCCUAACACAUGCAAGUCGAGCGCGCGGCGGACGGGUGAGUAAUGUCUGGGAAACUCUCCGAUGGAGGGGGAUAAAUAUUGGAAACGGUAGCUAUUAUCCCAUACCAUCUGAUGUGCCCAGAUGGGAUUUGCUAGUAGGUGGGGUAACGGCUCACCUCGGCGACGAUCCCUAGCUGGUCUGAGAGGAGGACCAGCCACACUGGAACUGAGACACGGUCCAGACUCCUACGGGAGGCAGCAGUGGGGAAUAUUGCACAAUGGGCGCAAGCCUGAUGCAGCCAUGCCGCGUGUGUGAAGAAGGCCUUCGGGUUGUAAAGCACUUUCAGCGGGGAGGCGUUACCCGCAGAAGAAGCACCGGCUAACUCCGUGCCAGCAGCCGCGGUAAUAC
rnacentral:rRNA from 1 species